rnacentral:lncRNA from 1 species
UUUAAGAUAUUCAUAGAUAAAACAUCACAACCUAUUUCCAAUCAACCAUCACAUUCGUCUUAUCAAGUUUUAAAUGUAGACAGUCCACCGUUCAUCCCUACUAGUUCACCCGAAAUUGCACAGACAAGUUAUGCCGCCCCGUCAUUGCCACAGUCAAAUGAUGCCGCUCGAAUUUUAACAGAGACAAGCCAAAUUGCCACAUCAAUUCCCACGUCAAGCUAUACUGUCCCGUCCGCUAUAUCCAGCAAUCUCCUCGUUUGCCAAAAUUAACUUUACCUACAUUUAAUGGCAAUAUAUUAGAAUGGCCGAGCUUUUGGGAUUCUUACGAAUCGGCAGUUCAUUACAACCCAACAUUGACAGAUGUUCAAAAGUUUAAUUAUUUGAAGGCCCAAUUAGAAAACGAAGCCGCUCAGACAAUUGCCGGAUUUUCUCUAACUAACGCUAACUAUGCCGAAGCCGUAAAUGUUCUGAUAGAGAGAUUUGGACAGACUCAUAAAAUAACACAAGCACACCUACAAGCACUGCUUGAUAUUACGCCACCCCGGAAUGACCUCAUAAGCCUGAGAAUGUUUUAUGACAAAAUGGAGAGUUUAGUUAGAGGACUUGAAUCGCUUGGACAGACACAGGACUCAUACGGUAAUUUAUUAGUCCCGAUUAUAAUCAACAAACUGCCAGGAGAAAUUAGAAAGCAUCUCGCGCGGGAGCAUGGUACGACAAGUUGGCUAUUACCAGAUUUGUGUAUCUUAGAAGAAGUAUACACAAAGAGAUACAAAUCAUGGAAGCCGGACAAGUUACACAGACAGAAAGUGAUAUUUCGUAUUCUACCCUUUUCGCCGGUGCUAACUCACAAAGAAAACACAACGCAAGUACUAGAAAUGUUAAUCAGCAUUUAACAGAAAAGCCGUGCAUUUUCUGCAAAGAUAUUCAUUCGCCUGCCAACUGCCAGAAAGUACGCGAUUUAGAUGAACGCAUCGCUAUUGUUAAACGUAACAAUUUAUGCUUCAACUGCCUCGGUACACAUCACAUAAAGGAAUGCAAAUCGAAAAGCUCAUGUCGUAACUGUGGUAAACGAC